rnacentral:snRNA from 1 species
AUCGCUUCUCGGCCUUUUGGCUAAGAUCAAAGUGUAGUAUCUGUUCUUAUCAGCUUAAUCUCUGGUACGGCUUCCAUAGGAGGCCCAGAAGAUUAAACUGAUUUUUGGAAAAUGACGGAGUGCUAGGGGCUUGCUCCACCUCUGUCGCGGGUUGACCCGGUAUUGCAGUACCUCCGGGAACGGCCCACCUCAU